GCCAGGCGUGGUGGUGCACACCUGUAAUCCCAGCUACUAGGGAGGCUGAGGCAGCAGAAUUGCUUGAGCCCAGGAAGUGGAGGUUGCAGUGAGCAAUGAUCGUGCCACUGCAGUCCAGCCUGGGCAACAGAGCAAGAUUCCAUCUCAA
ensembl:misc_RNA Metazoa_SRP Metazoan signal recognition particle RNA